rnacentral:tRNA from 1 species
GGAAAUGUGCCUGAGCACUAAGGGCCACUAUGAUAAAGUGGACACAGAGGUAUGCCAGUCCUCUCAUUUCCU